CAGCACCUUUCGAAAGCGAGAGAUGCGCCGUCCGAGAAAAUAUGGCGUAAAAUGAGCGUGUUACUCGUGUGUCAGUGAUUUCGGCAAGAGGUCAGUUCCUGAAUACCGGUAUUAGUGCAAAAAUUGCGAGCGAUUCCGGCAAGUUUAUCCUUAGACUCGUACUUGCAAACGACGUAUUGGAGUGGACUCCGGAAUCUGUCGGAGAAACAAGCCGGGAACACGCGCAGUGGAGACGCACCGAUCAGUAGUAGUCUCUCUGGCCUGUCAUCGAGGGAUACUCAUUCUGCCGGCCACCCAGCCAUUUCACGAGAUUCCACUUCGCCAGUCACACAGCCACAGCCGCGGUUGGAUUGGUUUUAAUUAGGAAUAAGCAUGCUUUUCUGCAUUAAAGUAUACAUCAAUAAUAGAACAGUACAAUAAAGAUUAAAUCAUGGUUUGCAGAGCCGAUGAAAAGACUCAAAUAUGUGUGGUUGAAUUCAAUAUACCUUGUGAGGUUAAUCAUAAACUUUGCACUAGUGACAAAUUUUCCCUAUAUGUAUCUACACGCGCAAAAGAUCUUUUCAAUUAUAUCGAAGAACAUUAUCACAUGUCACCGGAUAGCUUUAAAUUGAUUUUAUGCACAACAUCAUGCAAAAUGAUUUAUUUGGCUGAUGUGAAAGACAAAACAAUGGAGGAAAUUGGUGUAGAUUUCUCGAGUGAUCCAAAUUCGGCUGGACCAAAAAAUACUCUAUUUGUUGUUGAUCCGCAACGACCCUUUGUUAUUGAUGUAACAUCACCAAAAAACAUGGAAUAUAAUCUGCCAACGUAUAAUCUCACAGGAACGUCAGCUCUUCAGCCACAUGUAUGGGGAGAAGAGGAUAUUGUUAGGGAAGAUGUUAGAGAAGACGUUAGAGAUGGUAAAGAGGAAGUCAAUUUUAGAAGUUUUAUUAAAACUGAGACAAGCUAUGUUGGUUUAGUCAAUCAAGCAAUGACUUGCUACUUGAAUAGUCUUCUCCAAGCGUUAUAUAUGACGCCAGAAUUUCGUAAUGCGCUAUAUAAUUGGGAAUAUAUAGAUGGUUCCGAAAAAGAUGAAGCCUUAAGCAUACCAUAUCAAUUACAGAAAUUAUUUCUUAAUUUGCAGACAUCUACAAAGUCUGCAGUGGAAACUACUUCCUUAACUAAAAGUUUUGGGUGGGAUUCUACUGAAGCAUGGCAGCAGCAUGACAUUCAAGAGCUUUGUAGAGUUAUGUUUGACGCAUUGGAACAGAAAUUUAAAAAUACAGAACAGGCAGAUCUAAUCAACAGACUUUAUGAAGGAAAGAUGAUUGAUUAUGUUAAAUGUCUCGAGUGUGGAACGGAAAAAUCAAGAGAAGAUACAUUUCUUGACAUCCCAUUGCCAGUUAGACCAUUCGGAAGCAAUAUUGCAUAUAACAGUGUGGAAGAAGCAAUCAGAGCAUUUGUUCAAUAUGAAACAUUGGAAGGAACUAAUCAGUAUCAUUGUGAAAAGUGCAACAAAAAAUGCGAUGCACAUAAAGGAUUGAAGUUUACAAAGUUUCCAUAUUUGUUAACCUUACAUCUCAAGCGAUUUGACUUUGAUUACAAAACCUUUCAUAGAAUCAAGCUUAAUGAUAAAGUCACGUUCCCAGACAUAUUAAAUUUAAAUUCCUUUAUCUCGUCCACAAUGAGUCAAGAAUCUCCUGGUGGUGAGGAAGAUAUUGGUUUAGGUAUCAAAUGCGAUGAUAGCUCUACAACGGAUAGCGGUACUUUAGACGAUGAUUGUGCACCGUGCGACAACAGUCUUUCCAACAGUAAUCAUUCAGCUAAUCAUGAUCAAGAUGAUGAUGAAGGUAUCGAUAUGAGCAAUGGACCAUCGACAUCAAGUUGUACUAUGCAUAAUCAUGAGAAUGACAAGAAUCGCGGUAUUUCUAUAUUAGGAAAAGGUCCAUAUAUGUACGAACUGUUUUCCAUCAUGAUUCACAGCGGCAGUGCGAGUGGAGGCCAUUAUUACGCUUAUAUAAAAGAUUUCAAAACACAAGAAUGGUUAUGUUUUAAUGACCAAAGUGUAACUCAGAUAACUCAUGAUGAUAUCCAGAAAACAUAUGGCGGCGGACCAUCAAGAGCAUAUUAUAGUGGUGCAUAUAGCAGCAGCACAAAUGCAUAUAUGCUCAUGUAUAGGCAAAUUGAUCGUAUUCGUAAUUCUUUGCCUAUGCAAACCCAAGAUUUUCCACGACAUAUUCAAGAGCUAUUAAAGAAAAUGAAAGAAAAUGAAGAUAAUGAUAGAAAAAAUCGUGAGAAACAAAUGUCCAUACCUAGAUUGAAAAUAUACUGUCAUCAUCCAGUAGAAGGAAAAUUGAUGAAUAUCAAAUUAUAUGUUAUGUCUGACAUUACGUGGGCUGAAGCCACAGAGAAAGCAUAUAAGAAAUUUGGCCUCGAAAAUGUAGUGAGUCUAGAUCAGUGCCGUUUAGUUAGUUACGAACAUAAUACCGAUUUAAUAGAAUGUAGUUACGAUGAUCGAGAGGAUGAAUCUGUUGGAAGUAUAUGGCGUAUUUCACGUCGAUUCGAUUUAUUGUUAGAAAUUCGUCGCAAAGAUCAAAAGUUUGAGACAUAUUUACCAGGCGGAGUUGCAACUAAGGUAUUUGUCAUAGACGUAGCGAGAGAGGAGGUAAUUGACGGUCCGAUCGAUAUUCGAGGUUCUUUGUCGCAAAGUGUUAAAGAAUAUAAACAAAUCGUAGGAAAAAUUAUUAAUAUGGAUCCUAAGCAAAUGAAAGUAAUAUUACGAAAGCAUCCAGAGAUUAGAUCUGUGGAAAAUGAUGAUAGUGAUCUUCAAACUGAAGGAUUUUAUAAUGCAAAUAAAGUAUUCAUAUCAACAAUGUACGACAUAGAUAAUAACAAACCUUUUCAAGAAUCAACAGUAUACAGAGUCAUAGAGAAUUUUAGAUAUGUUAUUUCAUUACAUGUCCAAUUACCAGAUACCAGCAAAGAAACAUUGGAAGAAUUGAAUAUCCCGUUAUUAGAUGAUAAACAUGAGGAAAAGGAGAAGCUUGUUAGCAAUGGUUCACCUAAACUGUGCGUUCCCGAGUCGCAUUGGGACAUUAAUUUGAAAUACAAUGAAAAUUCAAAAGGUUGUACACGAAAUAACGAAGAUACCAUUCGAAACAUAAGUCCUCAGUUAGGCGAAGCUGAGGAAUGGAAUACACCUGAACAGAGUAAUAGUGAAGAUAGUAGCCUUAGCGAUAGCGAUAAAACGUUAGUCGGCGAUGCGCCGGAUGGUGUCGACAUUGAAGCGCAGUCGUGGCAUAGGCGCAACUAUAGGGAUUAUAAGAUUUCAAAGCAAUUCGAAAUAGAAAAUUGGGACAUUGAUGACGACUCUGAUUAUUAUUUUAGAGCUAUGCCAUAUACAGAUAGUACUCAACAAAAAUUACUUAAAGUAUUAGUGGAUAAAAGAAUGAGAUUUAGCACUUUGAAAAAAGAUUUAGAACCGUUCGUAAGUGUACCUAUGGAUUAUUUCAAAGUUUUUCGUUUAUCGAGUUCUGGUGAAUCAGAAUGUAGCUGUCUAACAGAACAGCUUAAUUCGUACGAGGAUGGUGAGAGACUUAACGUGAAACUCGGACGAGCCUUGCGUAGUGGAGAAUUCAAAGUAAAAUUAUAUCAGCUAUUGAUCGACUCCACUGAGCCUUACAAAUUUUUGUGCGAAUGGAUCGUCUCGAAAGAUAUGACGGUCGGGCAUGCGAAAAAAGAGAUAUUGGCAGAAAUAAAGAGAAAAUAUGAUAUAGAUAUACCGUAUGAAAAAUGCCGGCUUAGAAAAAAAUAUUAUAAGACAGCCUCAAAAGUAUUCCUAAACGAACAGAAAUUCGAGGAUCUCCGAUUUCACUCGCAAUUUGAAAUGAUUGUUCAAGAAUUAUCAGAUAAAGAGACAGUCACAGAUAUCAAUCAAAUCGUCCUGUUUGUCAGAAGAUGGUUACCAGCAAAAUUGCAACUAGGACAAUUUCAAGAAAUUGUCAUGGAUAAUAGAACCGUCGAAGAAUUAAAAAAGAAGCUUUCCUCAAUAUCAGAUAUUCCAGAAGAAUAUAUAGAUAUAGCAAAGGGAAAAGGUAAUUUUCCAUGUGACAGUUGUUCUGUGCUUCGAAUUCAAAAUGAGCUUGAUUGGAAUGAACAUCAUGAUAGUUUAGCUUUCAAUUUUGAAGAUGGUGCCGUUUUCUUAUACAGGGAUAAUAGGGAAAAACCAAAACAGUUAAAUGCUGAUGAGGUAAUGGAAAUCGCUUUUAAGGAAAAUUCACGCUUAACGCCGCUUACUACUACUUCAAGUUACAGUCCACGUCGAGAGAGAGCACUUAAAAUAUAUUUGGAUACCGAAUGAUUGUUCAUAGAGAAAGAGCAUGACUCUCUUAAAAACCAAUUAUUAAAUAGCACAACAAUGUUUAAUUCACAUUCUUCAAGUCUAUUAUUUAUUAGGCUUUCAAAUUUGUUACUUUAUGAAGUAGCUUGUUUUACAAAUCAUUUUUCUAAUAUGUAUGACAGCAUUAAUCUGACAAGUAAUGUAAUCAUGUAAUUAUUAUAACAAAUAUGUGAUUAUUUUUUAAUUAAUUAUAAUUAACUAAUAUUUCAACUCUUAAUGUGCAUAAAUUCGAAAAUAACAAAAAUAAUAUUUUAAGAAGAAGAAAUGUUGAAACAGAUAAUUUUUAUUAUACACAUAUUUUUAUAUGUUAUAUAUGUAUAUACACAUUUUCUCUUCAUCAUGUUAUUGAUAUAGAAAAUCUGAGAAAACAUUACUGGUGGGCUAAUUUAUAUUUGAUUAUUGUAUUUUUACUUUAUGAUGUAUAUGUAUACAUAUCUCUCAUCAUAUUUCUAUUUUUUGCAAUAAUAAACAUAAAUAUCAAAAAUAUUUUCAUCUAAGAAGAUAUGAAUGUUUUUUUAGUUUAUGAAAAAUGAAUCACGUUUAUUGCUUCAGCUGCUGUUUUCGCUUGAAACCAUCCACCCUGAAACCUGUUUUUAUAUGACACCCCAAUGAUUUUUUUCUCUUAAAGAUGAAAAUUGAUGAACUGGACCAAGUGGCAAUUCAAUAGUUCUAUUUGUUAUAACUUUAUUUAUUUUGUUAUCCUCUCUAUAAUUAAUGUUUUAUUUAUCACCUGAAACUAGACUUAAAACGUUGUUUGAUUAAUGUUUUUAUAAUCGCUGAACGAAUGAAAAAUAUUGAUGCUGAUGCUAUCUUUUAGCAAGAUAGAUAACAAUAAAAGUUGUGAAUUAUACAUUUGAUCUUUUUUUUUUUGCGAAUAAGUUAAUUGUAAGAUUAUGGUAUAUAUCUCUCUUGAUAGGAUUGUAAUUUGAAACUUUCCACUCAUCAGCGAUCAAAUAUUAUUCUCUGUAUAAUACACUGAAGUUAUGUGUGAAACAAAUUAUAUUUAUAAUUAUUAACAAUGAAA